UGGGGAAUAUUGCGCAAUGGUCGAAAGACUGACGCAGCGACGCCGCGUGGAGGAUGACGCCCUUCGGGGUGUAAACUCCUGUUGCUCGGGACGAACCUCCCCUUUCGAGGGGACUGACUGUACCGGGUGAGGAAGCACCGGCCAACUCUGUGCCAGCAGCCGCGGUAAUACAGAGGGUGCGAGCGUUGUCUGGAAUCACUGGGCGUAAAGGGCGCGUAGGCGGCUUGGUAAGCGUGCGGUGAAAGCUAGGGGCUCAACCCCGAGUCUGCCGUGCGAACUGCCGGGCUGGAGCACGGUAGGGGCACGUGGAAGGACGGGUGUAGCGGUGGAAUGCGUAGAGAUCCGGAAGAACACCGGUGGCGAAGGCGGUGUGCUGGGGCGUAGCUGACGCUGAUGCGCGACAGCGUGGGGAGCAAGCAGG
rnacentral:rRNA from 1 species